rnacentral:rRNA from 1 species
CCUACGGGAGGCAGCAGUGAGGAAUAUUGGUCAAUGGUCGCGAGCCUGAACCAGCCAAGUAGCGUGAAGGAUGACUGCCCUACGGGUCGUAAACCUCUUUUAUAAAGGAAUAAAGUGAGGCACGUGUGCCUUUUUGUAUGUACUUUAUGAAUAAGGAUCGGCUAACUCCGUGCCAGCAGCCGCGGUAAUACGGAGGAUCCGAGCGUUAUCCGGAUUUAUUGGGUUUAAAGGGUGCGUAGAUGGGUUGUUAAGUCAGUUGUGAAAGUUUGCGGCUCAACCGUAAAAUUGCAAUUGAUACUGGCAGUCUUGAGUACAGUUGAGGUAGGCGGAAUGCGUGGUGUAGCGGUGAAAUGCUUAGAUAUCACGAAGAACUCCGAUUGCGAAGGCAGCUUACUAAACUGCCACUGACAUUGAUGCUCGAAAGUGUGGGUAUCAAACAGGAUUAGAUACCCCUGUAGUC